GCUGAGAGGCCUGUGAGAGGUUCUGGGGCGCCACCGCAGUCAUUCUGUUCAGCGGGUAUAGGACUUUCAUUCAUGGGACUGUCCCUGAUUCCCAGCCAUCACGGGGAGGCUCUACCUUCAAGUGUUAUCCAGAAUCAGACCACCUCACCUCAUCUACUGUGGCCUCCCUGGGAUGGGCCUGGCCUCCUUCAGUCUGUUCUCACCACAAAGCCACCAGAAGGAUCCUUUUAUUUUUAUUGAUUGAUUGAUUGAUACGGGGUCUGACUCUGUCAGCAGGCUGGAGUGCAAUGGCACGAUCUCACCUCACUGCAACCUCUGCUUCUUGGACUCAAGCAAUCCUCCCACCACUGCCUCCUGAGUAGCUGGGACCACAGGUGCACACCACCACACCCAGUUAAUCUUUUUGUAUUUUUGGUAGAGAUGGAGUUUCACCAUUUUGCCCAGGAUGGUCUCAAACUGUUAAGCUCAAGCAAUCUACCCACCUCAGCUUCCCACAGUGCUGGGAUUACAGAUAUGGGCCACCACGCCCAGCGCCUUUUAAAAGUGCAGUUGGAUCAUAGCAUUUAUCUGCUCAUAACAAUGGCUUUUGCUUCCCCGCUCACUCAAAAGAAAUUCCUUCUUCACUGCAGAACUGCCCCUCCUACCACAGGAUGUUUAGGGUUCCUGGCUGCAACCCCCAAAGGUCCUAAUGGUGCUGGUCAUGGGGGGAUCCACACCAUUGUGACAACGAAAUAUGCC
rnacentral:lncRNA from 1 species